UAAAUACUCCCUCCGUCCCAAAAUAAGUGACUCAACUUUGUACUAACUUUUAGUACAAAGUUGAGUCACUUAUUUUGGGACGGAGGGAGUAACAU
rfam:Triticum urartu cultivar G1812 contig702254, whole genome shotgun sequence.